AAGCGGAGGAGCAUGUGGUUUAAUUCGAUGAUACGCGAGGAACCUUACCUGGGCUCGAACGUAAGAUGACUGUAGGUGAAAGCUUACAUCUCUUCGGAGCAGUUUUACGAGGUGCUGCAUGGUUGUCGUCAGCUCGUGCCGUGAGGUGUCGGGUUAAGUCCCAUAACGAGCGCAACCCCUACCUUUAGUUGCCAUCAGGUUAAGCUGGGGACUCUAAAGGAACUGCCUACGCAAGUAGUGAGGAAGGCGGGGAUGACGUCAAAUCAGCACGGCCCUUACGUCCAGGGCUACACACGUGCUACAAUGGCCGAUACAGAGGGCAGCUACCUGGUGACAGGAUGCAAAUCUCCAAAGUCGGUCUCAGUUCGGAUCGGAGUCUGCAACCCGACUCCGUGAAGUUGGAUUCGCUAGUAAUCGCGCAUCAGCCAUGGCGCGGUGAAUACGUUCCCGGGCCUU
rnacentral:rRNA from 1 species